ACGGGGUGCAGCAGGCGCGAAACCUUUGCAAUGUGCGAAAGCACGACAAGGUUAAUCCGAGUGUCUCCUGCUAAAGGAGUCUUUUGUCAGUUGUAGAAUCACUGAUGAAUAAGGGGUGGGCAAGUUCUGGUGUCAGCCGCCGCGGUAAAACCAGCACCUCGAGUGGUCAGGAUGAUUAUUGGGCCUAAAGCAUCCGUAGCCGGUUGCAUAAGUUUUCGGUUAAAUCCAUGCGCUUAACGUAUGGGCUGCCGGGAAUACUGCAUAACUAGGAAGUGGGAGAGGUAGACGGUACUCGGUAGGAAGGGGUAAAAUCCUUUGAUCUAUUGAUGACCACCUGUGGCGAAGGCGGUCUACCAGAACACGUUCGACGGUGAGGGAUGAAAGCUGGGGGAGCAAACCGGAUUAGAUACCCGGGUAGUCCCAGCUGUAAACUAUGCAAACUCAGUGAUGCAUUGGCUUGUGGCCAAUGCAGUGCUGCAGGGAAGCCGUUAAGUUUGCCACCUGGGAAGUACGUACGCAAGUAUGAAACUUAAAGGAAUUGGCGGGGGAGCAC
rnacentral:rRNA from 2 species